rfam:Gymnopus luxurians FD-317 M1 unplaced genomic scaffold GYMLTscaffold_3, whole genome shotgun sequence.
GGUCUAAUAGUGUAGAGGUUAGCACAUGGGAUUUUGACUGUCUAAGAUUUCUCAAAGUUUCCCAUAACCCAGGUUCGAGUCCUGGUUAGACCU